rnacentral:rRNA from 1 species
UACCCCACUAUGCCCAGUCAUAAACUUUGAUGAUAAUACACAAAUAUCAUCCGCCAGGGAACUACAAGCGCAUUGCUCGAAACCCAACGGACUUGGCGGUGCCCCACACCCACCUAGAGGAGCCUGUUCUAUAACUGACAACCCCCGUUCAACCUCACCACCCCUAGCAUAUUCAGUCUAUAUACCACCGUCGCAAGCUCACCCUGUGAAGGACAAGUAGCAAGCAAGAUGGGCAAGACCCAAAACGUCAGGUCGAGGUGUAGCACAUGGGAUGGAAAGAAAUGGGCUACAUUUUCUGUACCACAGAACACAACGAACAGCUAUUAUGAAAAUUAAUGCUCGAAGGAGGAUUUAGCAGUAAAAAGAAAAUAGAGAGUUCUUUUGAAACUGGCCCUGGGGCGCGCACACACC